UACGUAGGGAGCAAGCGUUGUCCGGAUUUAUUGGGCGUAAAGAGCUCGUAGGCGGUUUGUCGCGUCUGCUGUGAAAACUCGGGGCUUAACUCCGGGCCUGCAGUGGGUACGGGCAGACUAGAGUGCGGUAGGGGAGACUGGAAUUCCUGGUGUAGCGGUGAAAUGCGCAGAUAUCAGGAGGAACACCGGUGGCGAAGGCGGGUCUCUGGGCCGUAACUGACGCUGAGGAGCGAAAGCGUGGGGAGCGAACAGG
rnacentral:rRNA from 1 species